GUGAACGCUGGCGGUAGGCCUAACACCUGCCAGUCGAACGGCAGCACAGUAAGAGCUUGCUCUUACGGGUGGCGAGUGGCGGACGGGUGAGGAAUACAUCGGAAUCUACUUUUUCGUGGGGGAUAACGUAGGGAAACUUACGCUAAUACCGCAUACGACCUACGGGUGAAAGCCGGGGAUCUUCGGACCUUGCGCGAUUGAAUGAGCCGAUGUCGGAUUAGCUAGUUGGCGGGGUAAAGGCCCACCAAGGCGACGAUCCGUAGCUGGUCUGAGAGGAUGAUCAGCCACACUGGAACUGAGACACGGUCCAGACUCCUACGGGAGGCAGCAGUGGGGAAUAUUGGACAAUGGGCGCAAGCCUGAUCCAGCCAUACCGCGUGGGUGAAGAAGGCCUUCGGGUUGUAAAGCCCUUUUGUUGGGAAAGAAAAGCAGCAGGUUAAUACCCCGCUGUUCUGACGGUACCCAAAGAAUAAGCACCGGCUAACUUCGUG
rnacentral:rRNA from 1 species